rnacentral:rRNA from 1 species
UGCCUUUAGUUAACCUAUUAAAGGUACAUCCUGCCCAGUGAAAUUUUUAACGGCCGCGGUACCCUGACCGUGCGAAGGUAGCAUAAUCAUUUGCCUCUUAAUUGGUGGCUAGAAUGAAUGGACAAACGAGAUUAUUACUGUCUCCUUUACGCCAAAAUAAAUUAGUCUUCAGGUGAAGAAACCUGAAUCAAAAUAAAAGACAAGAAGACCCUGUCGAGUUUUACUUAACUUUAGCCACUAUACCAUUCACCCUCCUAAAUAAAGUUUGGUUGGGGCGACCAAGGAAUACAAGAAACUUCCUACUCCUCUAGAAUCCUAAUUCACAUAAAUUUGACCCUAAACCUAGAUCAACAAAAUAAACUACCGCAGGGAUAACAGGCUUAUCUUUCUAGAGAGUUCAAAUCGAUAGAAAGGUUUGGCACCUCGAUGUUGGCUUAGAGUAACUAAUCGAUGCAGCAGUCGUUUCAAGUUAGUUUGUUCAACUAUUAAAUCUCU